AGUGAACGCUGGCGGUAGGCCUAACACAUGCAAGUCGAACGGCAGCACAGGAGAGCUUGCUCUCUGGGUGGCGAGUGGCGGACGGGUGAGGAAUACAUCGGAAUCUACUCUGUCGUGGGGGAUAACGUAGGGAAACUUACGCUAAUACCGCAUACGACCUACGGGUGAAAGCAGGGGACCUUCGGGCCUUGCGCGAUUGAAUGAGCCGAUGUCGGAUUAGCUAGUUGGCGGGGUAAAGGCCCACCAAGGCGACGAUCCGUAGCUGGUCUGGGAGGAUGAUCAGCCACACUGGAACUGAGACACGGUCCAGACUCCUACGGGAGGCAGCAGUGGGGAAUAUUGGACAAUGGGCGCAAGCCUGAUCCAGCCAUACCGCGUGGGUGAAGAAGGCCUUCGGGUUGUAAAGCCCUUUUGUUGAGAAAGAAAUCCAGCUGGCUAAUACCCGGUUGGGAUGACGGUACCCAAAGAAUAAGCACCGGCUAACUUCGUGCCAGCAGCCGCCGUAA
rnacentral:rRNA from 1 species